ACUAAGCCAUGCUUUCAUUGUAGCACACCAAAUAAAAGGCUGUAGGUUUGCUGAGUGCAUUUAGAGAAAGUUACCUACAAAGUCAGCCAGGAGGGCACUUCUACAAAGAGAUGGGCUUUUGGAAACGUAGGAACAAUGAAUCAGACGGCCAGCUUCAAGCGGCACCUGUUAUGGAGCAGAAGGACCAGGGUGGAGGAUUGGAAGGAACAAAGGCCGAGCAUUAUGCUGCCGUUGUAAAGAGCAGACCAGAGAACUUCAACAAUUCCAAGUUCUGAUUGGUCAGACCACAGCACAGGUUUCCAGUCCACCUUAACAAGCUUAAGGAAGCCAGCAGUUUUUCUGGAUCGUGUCUAAGUACAUUUUUCUUUUUGUGAGGAUUUAACUUACAAUGAACUGUCUUCACUGACUAUGGUGUUCCUGAGCACACAAUCAUUUCUAUGCAUAAUUAUAACCGUGUCCUGUUUGGUUUUUUAAUUCAGUGCUGACUGAACACCCAACAACAUGCUCGAUCACUCAGUGCAGACUUUCAGAUUGAAUUCAAGGGCUUAAAAACGUGUAUUUACUGGCUCAUCAGAGGAAACGGGUGGCAGCUGUCAGGGGGAAGGACAACAGGACACGCCCACACACAACACCUGCUGGAGGAACAGCGCGCAUGUUAAAUUAUUUACUAUUUCAUUCUGUUUGUACAAACCUGUUUGGUAUUUAAUGACUAAAGUUGAACACAUUAACACUAUAAAUGACAUUAUUUAUUAUAUUUUUUGUUAGAAUUAUUUUUAUAUUUGAUCAUAUACAGAUUUAAUCGUGGGGAAAAGACUGGCACAAGAUGAGUGUAAACCCAAAGAUUUGAAAGUACCAGAAACCUGAAUUUUCUGGUCAGCUGGGGUUAAUCUUUAUAAUCUCACAGGUCAUAGUGUUAAUCUGAGCAGUGUUAACAUUAUAAGAUCUGCUGAAACAAAGGGACUAAACAGACAUGUCACAUUUUUGGAUUGCAUGGUUUUCAGUGAGUUAAAUCGGUCAUUAACCAUAAAAAGCAGAAGGUUUUAUUGGACAAAUGUAAAACAAUUCAUGAAGUUUUUGGCUCUGAAAGACAUAAAAAUGAAUCACGCUUAACUAAUACAUGUUAACUAUCAACUCAUAGCAUGUAGUCAUCAUUUUAAGAAAUAUUCAUUUUCGUUUUUUACAAUGCAGCAAAAAACAAAAAUACAAAUCCGCGUGUCUUAUGAUUAAUAUCUGUAUGUCCUGCAUCGCCGUGUGCUUUAUCUGUUUCCUUUGUCUGUUGUGAAGACAGUUCAGACUUUAAGUCCUGCUGACCCUUCAGUUUCAUUUAUAAAUGUUUUGUGUGGUAAAUGAGCCUCAGGUCACACAAAAAACAACUGCCUGAGUUAACCGUUAAUUACAAUAUGAAACGAGUCGGUAUAAAACUUUUAUUAACACAUUCACAAACAACAAGCUUAUUUCAUCAUCUGUAUGUGUAUAAACACUCUCGCAACCUUUUAGAGUGAGCUGAUAGUAAAAAGGACAAUUGUCCAGCCAUGAACCAGCUUUACAGCAUGACUCUGAAGUAGGCUGUUUCUAAUUUUAGUGAUAUUGUGGAACUGAAUCAAGUCACACAAAUGUAUCUGUGUAAUGUGCACGCUGAAGGACAUAUCCUGGUCUAAAAUGACUCCAGGAUUUCUCACAGUGUUAGUGGAGGCCUCCCAUCCAGAGCAAGUGUGUACUUGGAUAUCAGGUUUCACUAAUAAACAUAAAUAAUCAUUUUCUUUCAUAUUCUGCUUUUAACAGUCGUAAUUCAGUCACAUGGUCAGUCCACCUACCUCUUUCAUUAGAACACAUAAAAACUAACAGAUCUAGCAUCUUCCUCAACAUAAGCUGUAAAUGUUGAAAUAAUGUGUGUUAAGAACUGGGAGAUGGUUAAUGUGCCUGAUCUCGAACCACAUCCCUGUGCUGGUGGAUCUCUAGAGCUAUGGAACUUAAACAGAAGUAGGUUUUGCACUCCAGAAACCUGGUGACAGAGGCGUCCUCAGGGACAGCAUUAUAUGCUGUAUGAAUGAGAAUUGGGAAAUCAUGCAAACGUGCUGACUUUAGAGGGGAGAAAACAGAGGGCUGACAUGUUCACAGGAAAUCUGAACUGUUUUUAAAUCACAUCUAAAGAUGUGUGUUUACUUUCAACCCACCAGAACUACUGAGUAGGCCUGCAGAGCAGUCUGCAGGGCAUUCACCGCUGAAUGAUUUAAACUGCAAGCUGUCUGAAGUUCGCAGUUUCAGACAGCUGAAACUCAAAGUUGUGCUGCACACAGAUGUCAGCGCAGCAGGAUGUAUCCACCUUCUGUGAAAACAUAGAUGCUCUGAUAUACAAAGCAUGCUGUACUGCGCCUAAAUUAAGACCAAAAUAAUGAAACAAAGAGCUCGACUCAUAUUCUGCAUCUGUGGUGAACAAACUGAAACUAAAGAGGAAUUUCUCAGAAACCACCACGAGCCACAGGAAGUAGCUGCUUUUCACACAUUGAAUACUUGAGUCCUAAGAAGCUCAGAUUUUUGUCUCUGAUGCUGAUGUGAGUAGAAAAAUUGAUUGUUGUUCUAAAGUUCUGACUAUUAAUCCAAAGUGUUGUCAUGCAUCCACAACUUUCGACAUGCCUGUGAGGACACUUCUGCCAGGGUUUGGGUAGUCAUCAAAUUUAAAUUGUUUCAAAACAUGAAGGAUGGAGGAGCUUUUCACCAUUCCAGCUUUUAGGGAAUAAGGUUACAAAUAUCUAAUCUGGCCGUGCAGUUUAUUAGUUCUGGUUAUGAUAACAGCACAAAGCAUUUUCUGUUAGAUUGAUUCUCACACAGGAUGUGAAAUGUGCUGAUAUGACUCACAGGUGAGAAACCGUCUUUUCUCUGUGCUUGUGUGAAACGUAAAGUCUGACUGAAUACAAAAACAGCACAGGCGUUGACUUUUAAAGCUCAUGAAGAAAUCACAACAACUUUUACUGUAGGUGGACGCCACACUCACAUGCCUCCAACACUGCCUCCCAUAGGCUCCCAUUUGAUUGCAAACUUACUGCAGGGGGUUAAAUUCUGUUUCUGGUUAUGGAUACAGUUUGUGGAGUCUCAGCAAAAGCUUGCACAGUGAGACAUCUGCCAGUGGUCUGACUGGUUUGGCAUCAGAGUUUAAAUGCAACAUAACAGCAAAAAUGACUAUUUAUGCCGUAGUUCACAGAAAUCUGUACCAAAUGAAGGCAAGCACAGUGCAUGAACAACAAGCUCAUCUCUGCUGAAUGCAGCUAAAACUUACCACUGCUAACUAUACAUUUGUUGCAACCCCUGACAGUAACAAAUAAAAGAAAUCUCAGAUAUGACAAUUUCCCAUCCACCAUAGGGCGAGAGGUGGGUUACACCCUGGACAUUUAACCUGUCUCCACUAACUGCAUGUCUUUGGUCUGUGGGAGGAAGCUGGAGUACCCGGAGAGAUCCCACACAGACACGGGAAGAACAUGCUCCACACAGAAAGACCCCGGCCAGGAGGUGGAGUCAGACGCAGGACCUUCUUGCUGUGAGGCAAAAGUGCUGAAUUAAGUUGUUUCUAUUAACUGUAUAUUUUUUGUAGAUGAAGGAGACGAUAAAAAGACAGAAUCACCAUCUAAUUUUCAUUUUGGGGGGACACCUGCACACAUCCAAAUAUGUAAAAUAGUCUGUCGUUACAAGAAUGUUUGCAGACCUUAACAAGCUGUUGCACCUGCCUGACUGACAGGAAGCAUUGCAGCUAUACAGGUGUUAGAUGAAACAGUGGGAAGGAUUACACAACACCUCCAAGAAGGAGAGCCAACACACAGCACAGCAAAGGAUGUUGGCUGUUCCCCGACAGCUGUAACUGGAGUAAGUGCAAACAAUAUGAGAAGGUCAUAAAAGGAAAACAUACACGCAGGUCUCAGAGCAAUAGGACAGAAAACUCAAAGCAUGCUUACACUUUGAAAAUGGAAAACAAACAAAAGGUUUUGUGUCUCUGUGGUUUGUUUAUUAGGCACAAAGUAAAAAAAGCUGAAUGAACAUCCUUAUUUCUGCCCUGGGUUGAUGUAAGCUGCCUGCACCCCAUUUCAAUCUCUUUACAGUAGAAACAAAAUCCAAAACUGAGUAGAAAAAUGUCUCACUGUGAUUCGACACAUACAUACGAGUCAAAGAUAUCGAUGCGUUUGGAGGACGAGACAGAGACAGCUCAGUAGGAGUGUGCUUUCACUCUGACUUGCCUUCCUGUUGACGACAUCAAGCCUGCUCCGGCAUGCUCUCCAUACUGUGAAAAACAAAGUGAACAAGAAAAACAGUGCUGCCUGUAAUUCUGAUCCUUUUUGUAAGAAAUCUGAAUAAAAAAACUUAGCAGA